UAUUGAGACAGUUUCUCUUUGAACGUGGAACUCAUCAAUUUGGGUAGGCUGUAAUGCUAAGGAGCUCUAUAAACUCUCUUGUCUCUGUGUCCCCAAGGCUGAGAUGACAAAUCUAUGCCAACAUGCUCUGCCUUUAUGUGGAUAUUGGGGAUCUGAACCUACAUACAACCACAUGCUUCCAAAGCCACAACUCUCCAGCCUUUGCUACUCUCCAAUAAUGCUGCUUGUUCCACAUAUAAAGCAUCCUUUGUGGAUCUCGGGAAUAACUGUCCACCCACAGGUUAUACACAGAGGUAGCAGAGUGGCUUUCUCCCGACACGGUGCAUUUGGCGAGAGGGACCUGUGUUCUCCUGGACUCACACUGGGGCAUUUAACUCCAGGUGAGAGACAACAUCCCCAUCCAGGGUCUUAUCAAUGAUGAGUGAUGUAACAGGACAAUGUAGCUACCAGGAAAGGUGAGCUAUUGGAAACAGAGCAGGGAAAGGUCUUGAGUAGAUCCUCUGGGACCAAACUCUAAUUUUCCUGAGUUGCUCCUGUUACGAACGGCAACUGCAGGGUGACAUCAUGAGGACAAUAUGCCCUGGACAUGUUGAUAUGCAGUCCCUGCUCCUUUUUAUUCUAUUUUU
rnacentral:sRNA from 1 species